UGAUCCUGGCUCAGGAUGAACGCUAGCUACAGGCUUAACACAUGCAAGUCGAGGGGCAGCAUUGGAGUAGCAAUACUUCAGAUGGCGACCGGCGCACGGGUGAGUAACACGUAUCCAACCUGCCGCUUACUCGGGGAUAGCCUUUCGAAAGAAAGAUUAAUACCCGAUGGUAUAAAGAGUUCGCAUGUUCUCUUUAUUAAAGAAUUUCGGUAAGCGAUGGGGAUGCGUUCCAUUAGAUUGUUGGCGGGGUAACGGCCCACCAAGUCUACGAUGGAUAGGGGUUCUGAGAGGAAGGUCCCCCACAUUGGAACUGAGACACGGUCCAAAUCCUACGGGAGGCAGCAGUGAGGAAUAUUGGUCAAUGGACGAGAGUCUGAACCAGCCAAGUAGCGUGAAGGAUGACUGCCCUAUGGGUUGUAAACUUCUUUUAUAAGGGAAUAAAGUGAGGGACGUGUCCCUUUUUGUAUGUACCUUAUGAAUAAGGAUCGGCUAACUCCGUGCCAGCAGCCGCGGUAAUACGGAGGAUCCAAGCGUUAUCCGGAUUUAUUGGGUUUAAAGGGAGCGUAGGUUGACAUAUAAGUCAGCUGUGAAAGUUUACGGCUCAACCGUGAAAUUGCAGUUGAUACUGUAUGUCUUGAGUGUACAAGAGGUGGGCGGAAUUCGUGGUGUAGCGGUGAAAUGCUUAGAUAUCACGAAGAACUCCAAUUGCGAAGGCAGCUCACUGGGGUACAACUGACACUGAGGCUCGAAAGUGUGGGUAUCAAACAGGAUUAGAUACCCUGGUAGUCCACACAGUAAACGAUGAAUACUCGCUGUUUGCGAUAUACAGUAAGCGGCCAAGCGAAAGCAUUAAGUAUUCCACCUGGGGAGUACGCCGGCAACGGUGAAACUCAAAGGAAUUGGCGGGGGCCCGCACAAGCGGAGGAACAUGUGGUUUAAUUCGAUGAUACGCGAGGAACCUUACCCGGGCUUGAAUUGCAGAGGAACAUAGUUGAAAGAUUAUGGCCGCAAGGUCUCUGUGAAGGUGCUGCAUGGUUGUCGUCAGCUCGUGCCGUGAGGUGUCGGCUUAAGUGCCAUAACGAGCGCAACCCUUAUCAUUAGUUACUAACAGGUCAUGCUGAGGACUCUAGUGAGACUGCCGUCGUAAGAUGUGAGGAAGGUGG
rnacentral:rRNA from 1 species